rnacentral:lncRNA from 1 species
GCUCUCUCCUGAGCUGGGUGACCCCGCAGUGGUGCCCCUGACCGGAGAGACAGGAGGGAACGCGGGCCAGCGGGGUCCCAGGCCUCUGGUGCUCAGGGGUCCUGGAGUCACUGUUCGCUUCGGGUUGGAGAGCCCAAGGGACCGCCCCUUAGGGGACCAUGCGCGCUCUGGGAAGCAACCGGCCUAGCUGCUCUCUUUCCAGCAGGCACAUUUCCAACCCAGCCCCCUCCACGCCCUUAGAAGUUGCUGAAAUUCAAACGCAGAGCCCUGUUUCUGCUACGCAAAUGCUCUGCCCCUAAGUUCCACCUCAGCCAGAGAUGCACACAUAUUCUCACGUGAAGAUCUCCAGCAUACUGUUAAGUGGAAAGAAAAGCACACAACACUGGAGAGGAAAUACAUCACACAUUUUGGAAGCUAUUUCUGGGAAUGGAGUCUCAAGGUGACAUGCUGGAGGAGUACCCAUGAGGCCCUGAGGUGUGGCUCAGUGGUGGGAAGCUGCCUCAGCACAUGAAGACUUGUGGUUAAGUCCAAGCACUGAAAAGAAAUUAAUGUACUUAUCUGUAAUUCUGCAGUUCUGUUCAUUUGUUUUAUAAGACAGGGUCUCACAGCUCAGGCUGCCUUUGAAAGCUGGUGUAGCUAAUGCUGUGGCCUCCACUUCCCGGAUACUGGGUGGGAUUACAGCAGUGCGCCAUCAGGCCCAGCAAAACGCUGUAAUUAAAAAGAAAACUGGGGAGGGAUAGUGUGCAGGGUUUGGGCCUAAAACACGGAUCUCCAAUAGAAAUUUUUUUCUAGAUGUUUUUUUCUGUGUAUCCCUGGCUGUCCUAGAACUAGCUCUCUAGACCAGGACAGCCUUGGACUCACAGAGAUCCACCUGCCUCUGCCUCCCAAAUGCAGGGAUUAAAGCGUGCGCCACCACUGCUCAGCAAAUUCUGUGCAACAGCAGAAAGGUCCUAGAGCUGUACUGUCCAAUUGGUAGCCAGUACACACAUGGCUUCUGAGAACUUGGAUCACAGCUAGUAUCUCCAAAGAAUCGAAUUUUAUUCUUUUCUCUAGUUGAGGGUGGGUCACCUUAUGUUACCAAGGCUAUUCUCAAACUCUGGGACUCCAACAAUUCUCCUGCCUAGGCUAUUUUCUCCUUGAAGGGAUGGAACCCAGGCCUUUCACAUACUAAACACACACUCUACCAGUGAGCUGUAUCCCUGCCCAGAUUUACCCCUCCCAACCAGAGUUGGGAAGGAGUUUCCUGUGGAGGGUGAAGCACAGCACACAGAGGUCUCCAGGGAGGGCGAGGCUCCCUCUGCUGAAGGCUGCCUUCUUUCUCAAGUUUCUCUCAGCCUCUGGCUAUUACCCCAGCAUUCCUAAAAGGGAGCUGAGUAGUGUAUCUGAUUUAACUGCUAUGCCUUUAAGAUCCCAGGCAACUCCGGGUGGAAAAACUGGUCAGAGUCAGGAGUGAGGGGUUAGCCUCAUUAGAAAAGGCUGAUUCCCAGGAAGGAUGGCAGAGGAAGGGCACCAGAGAGGAAACGCAGGCUACAGAGCACAAAGCCGUUUCCAAGUGCAGGAUCUGCUCAGGGCAGAACCUUUGGUUAGUACCCCGGACAGGCAGGAGGUGGCCAGGAGCUACCGCUACCGUAGCACCUCCAGCUUCCAGUCUGUGUAUGUCAGCGAGUCUUCUGCUGCGGCUGAACAGUGAUACUCGACGGCCCUUUCACUGAGCACAUUUUCUGGGAACACCCACCGCGCGCCAGAUACCCCGCCCUCAGCUUGAAGAAAGCAGACGACAUCUCUAACUCCCUGAAAAUCUCCAGUAAAAUCAAAUAAUACAUGAUUAUGGGCUGGGGUAAACAUUUUAAAUGGGUGAGGGGAAGAGAGAACAGGGCUAGGAGUGAAACUCAAUAGUGGUAGAAAAUAUGCUUAGCACAAGCAAGGGCCGUGUGCUAAUAAUAGAUGGAGCAUAAUUUCCAUUAGGAAAGUGUGAGAGAAGACUCUAGAAGCACACUCCUCUCUUCCCCCCACAAAGACCCAAAUACCAAAUGACAGCCAGGUGAAGGGAAGUUGUACCCAAGAGCAUUCCAGGAGAAGGACUGGUGACCGCUGAUGGGGACAUGGACCCUGAAAUGGGACCUUGACCUUUGGGAAAGAAUGUAGCAUUAGUGGGGCAUGGUGACUGAGAGUGAGGAAGGCCACAACACCCACAUACUGCCAGGCUUCCUGAGUCUCUCCCUAGGGGAGGACUGAGCUGACUGGUCUUGGGUCCUGGGUGAGGCAGGGACUAAGGAAUCAGCAGACAGUGGCUUCGUGUGGUCCACAGGCCAAAGGGUGCUUUUAACGUUUUUCAAGGAUGCCUGAAAAAUAAAACAAAAAAAAAAAAAUAUCCCGCAUGAAAUUAAAAUUUUAGUGUUCAAAAAUAAGGUGAGCCUUGCCCACUUACACACUAAGUGUCUCUUGUCAUUUUCUCACUACAUUGGCCAAAGGUGGAGCAGAGACUGUGUGGUCUUCAGAGCCUAAAAUAUUAACUACUUGGCUCUUUUGACAAUAAAACUAAGUGACCUGAGGAUUAGAGAGAGACUAAAAGUAGGAAGCCCAAACAGGAGGUUGCAACAGACACCAGGAUGAGAUGACGGUAGCCUCCUCCAUCUCGAUGGGAGUGGAGCUGAGAUGUAGAUGGGCUGAAGAAGCAAUUUAAGGAGAGAGCUUCCAGAACUUCCUAAUGGCAUGUGGGAGACCGAGGCAGGGGGAUCAUCUGAGUUGGUGGCCAGUCUGUGCUAUACAGAGUGAGACCCUGUCACACACACACACAAAAAAAAAGCAAACAAAGCUAGCAGUGGUGACUCGUGCCUGCACUACCAACAUUUGUGAGGCAGAAACAGGAAACCUUUCCAUACAAGUUUGAGGCUAGCCAUUUCUACAUAGCAACGAGAUCCUAUCUGACUGGGGAAGGUGCCAGAGAGAGGGAAGGAGACAGAGAGAGGUAAGAGGAAAAGAAGAAAAGGGGAAGAAGAACUGAGGAUGGAUUGAGGUGAUGUGAUACAUUUCAAAAUGACCCAGAACUUGUGGUCCUGGAGUAGGACCUUCGUAACACUUGGGGACAUGUGAUAAGGUUUGUGGCUUAGCUAGUAGUGUUUUAGUGUUAACUUCUGCAUCCUUGACCACACAGUGAUUUUGAGGCCAGCAUGGGCUACAAUGAGACCCUGUACCAAAUCUAUAACCACAGUGGGCUGGUAAGCUGAAAAGAUGUCUCGUGGUUAGAAGCUCUUUACAGCUCACAAAGAAUGGGAGUUUGGCUUCCAGCGACUCUGUUGGGCAGCUUUUCUGUAGCUUCAGCUCCGGGGAUCUGAUGCCCUCAUCUGGACUCUGAGGUCACUUUAUUCACACGUACAUACCCACAUGUGUAUUUUAAAAAUAAUAAAAUAAAUCU